AAUUACCAUUUUCAUUAAAUUUCCUAAAUCAAAACCUUACCAUUUAAACUUUGAUUCAACAUAUCAAAUAUAAUUGUUUCUUCUCAAUAAAAUCAACAAAUGCAGUAUUCUUUAUUUUUCAGUUUCAUAUUUACAAAGUUUCAUACUUUCAAAAAUUUACUUCUAUCUAGUACUAAUCUCAUUUCCACAAGCCAAUUAUAUAGUUUCAAUUGAGAAAUUUAGAAUAACAAUAGACAUAAUAUGAAGCCCAUUAACUCAAUAUUUCGACAAGCAAAAUUUAUAAAAGCUAAAUAUAGAUUUAUCAUCAAUUCUCAACCAACCUUUUUCAAUUAAUUAAAAUUUCCCAUUUCUUCCAAGUAUUUAUACCUUAAAAAGCAAGAGAAAAAUCCAAAUUAUUCAUUUUCAUUCACAUGCUUAUAAACCCAAAUUUAUUCAAUAACAUACUUUCCUUCCUGCAUUAGUCCAGUAAUUUAACCUUUAACAAAGCCAUUUAAACCCAACUUAUAAACUCACUCAAGUGAAAAUUUCAAUUGAAUCUUGCCCAUUUACUAAAAUUCACUAAAAAAAACUCAUCUAUAUCUAUUUUAACAUACAUUAAAUUCUCAUAAAAAAUUAAUAAAUAUAUAAAAAUUCCAAUUUC
rnacentral:misc_RNA from 1 species